rnacentral:rRNA from 1 species
CCUACGGGCGGCUGCAGUGGGGGAUAUUGCACAAUGGGGGAAACCCUGAUGCAGCGACGCCGCGUGGGUGAAGAAGUAUUUCGGUAUGUAAAGCCCUAUCAGCAGGGAAGAAAGAAGACGGUACCUGACUAAGAAGCCCCGGCUAACUACGUGCCAGCAGCCGCGGUAAUACGUAGGGGGCGAGCGUUAUCCGGAUUCACUGGGUGUAAAGGGAGCGUAGACGGCCGUGCAAGCCAGGAGUGAAAGCCCGGGGCCCAACCCCGGGACUGCUCUUGGAACUGUGCGGCUGGAGUGCGGGAGGGGCAGGCGGAAUUCCUGGUGUAGCGGUGAAAUGCGUAGAUAUUAGGAGGAACACCAGUGGCGAAGGCGGGUUGCUAGACUGUAACUGACACUGAGGCACGAAAGCGUGGGGAGCAAACAGGAUUAGAUACCCCAGUAGUC